rnacentral:pre_miRNA from 1 species
AAGAGGAACAGCCCCACUGGCAGCGGCCAGCUCUCUAGGACUGGAGUCAGCUCCCGCAGUAACUACCACAGCUCGCAGUCUGCACUGGCCUGGAUGCUCCCAGGGUUG